rnacentral:tRNA from 2 species
GGCAGGGUGGGAGAGUGGUUAAUCCGCAAGACUUGAAUGAGGUGCUACCUAGUUCCCCUGACAUCUUGUCCCUUCGGGGUCGUCGGUUCGAAUCCGGCUCCUGUCG